UAGGGAAUCUUCCACAAUGGACGCAAGUCUGAUGGAGCAACGCCGCGUGAGUGAAGAAGGUUUUCGGACCGUAAAGCUCUGUUGUUGGUGAAGAAGGAUAGAGGUAGUAACUGGCCUUUAUUUGACGGUAAUUAACCAGAAAGUCACGGCUAACUACGUGCCAGCAGCCGCGGUAAUACGUAGGUGGCAAGCGUUGUCCGGAUUUAUUGGGCGUAAAGCGAGCGCAGGCGGAAGAAUAAGUCUGAUGUGAAAGCCCUCGGCUUAACCGAGGAAUUGCAUCGGAAACUGUUUUCUUGAGUGCAGAAGAGGAGAGU
rnacentral:rRNA from 1 species